rnacentral:rRNA from 1 species
GUUACUGCUAUCGGUGUUUGACUAAGCCAUGCGAGUCAAAUGUUCUUCGUGAACAUGGCGUAAUGCUCAGUAACACGUGGAUAACCUGCCCUCAGGUCCGGCAUAACCUCGGGAAACUGAGGAUAAUUCCGGAUAUCUCUUCUCUGCCGGAAUCGCUUGAAGAGCAAAAGAAUUUCGCCUGAGGAUGGGUCUGCGGCCUAUCAGGUUGUAGGGGGUGUAAUGUACCUCCUAGCCGACAACGGGUACGGGUUGUGAGAGCAAGAGCCCGGAGAUGGAUUCUGAGACAUGAAUCCAGGCCCUACGGGGCGCAGCAGGCGCGAAAACUUUACAAUGCAGGAAACUGUGAUAAGGAGACACCGAGUGCUCGCAUCAAAUGCGGGCUGUCCACCUACUUAAAUCGUAGGUGUUAGCAAGGGCCGGGCAAGACCGGUGCCAGCCGCCGCGGUAAUACCGGUGGCCCGAGUGGUAGCCGCUUUUAUUGGGUCUAAAGGGUCCGUAGCCCGUUUGGUCAGUCCAUUGGGAAAUCCGGAUGCUCAACAUCCGGGCUUCCAGUGGAUACUGCCAGACUUGGGAUCGGGGAGGUAAGAGGUACUACAGGGGUAGGAGUGAAAUCUUGUAAUCCUUGUGGGACCACCUGUGGCGAAGGCGUCUUACCAAAACGAGUCCGACGGUGAGGGACGAAAGCUGGGGGCACGAACCGGAUUAGAUACCCGGGUAGUCCCAGCCGUAAACGAUGCUCGCUAGGUGUCAGGCAUGGCGUGACUGUGUCUGGUGCCGAAGGGAAGCCGUGAAGCGAGCCACCUGGGAAGUACGGCCGCAAGGCUGAAACUUAAAGGAAUUGGCGGGGGAGCACAACAACGGGUGGAGCCUGCGGUUUAAUUGGACUCAACGCCGGAAAACUCACCAGGGGAGACAGCAAUAUGUAGGUCAAGCUGAAGACUUUACCUGAAUCGCUGAGAGGAGGUGCAUGGUCGUCGCCAGUUCGUACUGUGAAGCAUCCUGUUAAGUCAGGCAACGAGCGAGACCCGUGCCCACAGUUACCAGCGGCAUCUCCGGAUGGCCGGGUACUCUGUGGGGACCGCCGGUGUUAAAUCGGAGGAAGGUGCGGGCUACGGUAGAUCAGUAUGCCCCGAAUCUCUUGGGCUACACGCGGGCUACAAUGGGCGGGACAAUGGGCAACUACCCCGAAAGGGGAUGUUAAUCUCAUAAACCCGUUCGAAGUUCGGAUCGAGGAUUGAAACCCAUCCUCGUGAAGCUGGAAUCCGUAGUAAUCGCGUUUCAACAUAGCGCGGUGAAUACGUCCCUGCUCCUUGCACACACCGCC